UUAUUAUAUAUUUUUUUCCUUAGGUGCCUCCAAAACUACAUUUCUUAAGCACAUAGCAAUCCCAGAGCAGUGGGGAGUCGGCAUGGAAACCAACUGGAUGGCAGAGGAGGUUAUAGUUUUUCCAUCUAUUAAAUGAAAGGGUGAGACUACAGCUUUCUACCUACGAUUGCUUCAGCAGGGGAUUUGGAAAAGCAAAGAAUGUGAAGAAAACACAAUCACAAAAAGCAGGGAGGAUCCUUGAGAGGAUCUGCCCAUCCAUUUUCUACAGAGAAAUAUGGACACGAAGAAUCUACGCAACUAUGGUGAUAAAUUUCCCUCAAGCCAAUAACGUCUGUAACAACCCAUACAGAAAAACAAACUCUCCUCUGCUUCCAUUCGCUGUUAACCACAGAGACAUGGGGAGCACAGUGUCCUGCAGAGGCUUCAGAGCUAAAAAAGGAGCUCCGGGAUCAUCUUCCCUAGCACCCUCUGUUUUGGAGAUGAGAAAACUGAGGCCUUGAGGAGGAAAGCAAGCAACUUACCUAAGAUAAUGAAUGAUCACAGCCAGCCCAGAACCCGGACAUAAAGUCAGUGCUAUUUCCUCCACAUCAUGUUGCCUCCCAUAGUAGGAACUUAAAAUGCUAUUGAAUUGAAAUGUAUUUCUGGCAUCUAUUCCAUUCCCUUGGCACAGAAGGGUUGGAGGAAAAAAAUUCACCAAUAAGA